GACAUACACAUAAAUACAGCAUGCCCUCGAGUUUUUGUCGCUGCAUCCUGCGGCCAAAGGAAGCGGAGAAGUUGAAGCAGCAGCAGCUGGUGAUGCUGCCGCAAGCGCAAUCAUAAGCCAACACCUAAGCACGUCAACAACACUGGCAGUCUCCAGCUGGCAAAUGCGAAAUCAGAAAAUGCAGCUUAUAGCUUCGGCUCUAAUACUGACUGCUUACUGUGUGCUACUUGAGCGUAAAUUGCACAGCUCCAGCAGAGGAGCCAGAAUCGGAGUUGGAGUUGGAGUCCGAAUCCGGAACACACAAAGCCGCGCA